rnacentral:lncRNA from 1 species
CCCUGUCGAUCUGCCCCCUGGUAAGCUCGAUGACCUGCUGAAGGAUCUCAAAUUCGAUGUUGGUGGUAAGGAGGAUGGUGCUGGGGAGGACGCUGGCUUGGUUGACGCAGACACCAAGAGAAGCGAGGGACAGGACGACUUGCUUGACGACGACUUCAGCAAGGAUGAAGAUGACUACGCCAACAAGAGAAGCUGAAUGUCGGUCCAGCAAGAAGCACUAGCCGAAUAAUUUUCCAUGGAUGUGUUCUCCAUGACCGCCUUGUUUUUGGUAUGUCCUGUGAUGAAGAUAAUAAUGUAGUGCUUGCAAACAAGUUAUGUUCGGUCUCUUAGCUACGUUCUGUACGUCUGUUUUGUGUACUGUGUGCUGGAUUCAUGCGAACUUGAACCUGAACUCUGCAUGUAUUGGAUGCUGUGAAAUUGCAUCUUCAGUAGCUGCUUGUUAUAUCAGUUCGCUAUAGUUGAUAGUUCAGAACUUCAGGUGCACUUGCAUAGGGCAAGGAGGCUGGAAUGCAAACCCCUCUGGCGAUCCCCUUGAUUGAAAACUGACUUUCAGUGAUAUGUUGGGGGUACACCUCUAAUUGGUGUCUGUAGCUGUCGAGGUCUUUCUCCACGAUGAAUACCCACAGCUGGGCAGACCUGGAGUGGCUUGACUUUGCAGGGAGGUGACGGUCGUUGCACGAUGACGAUCGUCACCGACGAUGGCGAGUUUACAUCCAUAUUUGGAUCAUGCCUUCUCCCGCAUGCGACGCCAUGGAUGUGUCCUUGGACCCAUCUCUUUCCUUGAAAAAAAAAUCAAAGAAAGGAAAAUAUGGGCUGGGUUCUGCAAUUCUUUUUUGUUUCCCAUUUUGUCAUCACUUGUAGAAUUUUAACUUAGACUACAAGUAUAUUUUCUUGACUUUCUAGAGGUUUAUAUAAUAAAUUGCCAUUUGACUAUUGUGAGAUUAACUUCACCUGUUGCAUUCUUAUUUAUUUUGUGUUCUUUAUACCACAUUUUUUCCAGGUGUGAUUGAGGACCUGAAUGUACUCGUUAAGUCGUUAGAUACAUCAUUAGUGAAGGAAAAAUCAAAGCACACUAGGAAGAUAAGCAUGCUAUUGAGCAUUUAUUCUUGUAUGAAUGCCCAUGUAGGUUUAAUCUCUUGAUUGAACCAAGCAUGUAUUUCCUUGUAGGACAUAUCACCUGAACUAGGAUCACUUAUAAAUUAAUAAGCUAGAGUUGUUGCACAGUACCCCUUGGGUAUAUAUAUAAAUUUUAUUUGAGUAUAAUGAUGGAGAAUGCAGUGUUAGAAAUGAAAAUGUAUGCUCCCGUUUGUGUGUUACUCCCUCCGUUCCUAAAUAUAAGUCUUUUUAGUGCUUCCUGUAGGAAACUAUGCUCGAUUUGUUUCUGUCAUGAACAUGCCAAAUUACCAAAAUAAUAAGGUUGAUGAACUGUUUUGUUCAUAGCUUUCCUUGCUUUUGAACUAGCGAGUAAAAUUGAUGUUGCUUGGCAUAACUGUCCUUACUGGGUUAGCUCAUAUCCUUACGCCUUGCAGUGAUCUUCUUUGGCCAUUAAUCUCAUUACAUAUUUUGUUGCAUGCCUCUCUCCACUACAUGGUGAUUGGUGAAGACAACAAAGAAACUAUGCUAGAUUAACUGGAAUGCAACAAAUUAUCCGGCUCAGAAAUUUUGUACCGGGAACUUAUCUUGCUGCUUGUUCCAUUCCUUUGCUUCACUUGUACUUGUGCUCCAAUCCAGUAGAUUGGAAUAUACCCCGUCUUAUUCCACUUUGUUGUUUGUAUAUGGAAGUACAAACUAGUAGAAGGAAACGAAGAUGGAAUGGAAGGUUUUCUCUACUGCCUUGUGUAGCACAGCAAGCUACAUAGGAUGGUCAUGGAUGGUCUGUGUUCCAUUCCUAUCUUCUCUGGCUCCGGCGCUGAUGGUUCUUCAGCCGAAUUGCCGUAGCUGAGCUAGCGGUGGGCUCGGACGAUGAUGAGGAUGGGCAUCCACGACAAAUGUACUAUAUGUCCAGCAUCAUGGCCCAACUUCCAGGGGAGGCCUGUCAAGGUUCUACGAUGGCAAGUUGCAGUCACUCAGUUUGGUGGGCAGCGUGAAGGCAGUGGAGGACCUGUCCAAGGCCAUCAGGGAGGUGACAAGGAGCUAGACGAGGAGGCCUCCUUGAAAAUCAAGAUUAGCAACUAGUUUCAGCUAGCUUUGAUGGUGCCUCCAGCAGCUGAGAGUAAUCUAUGAAUCAUCAGAUGAUAUCAUGUCUGAAUUUCUACUUGUCUGUAGAUAGGUGUGGAUAGUGAUGAAAAAUACUAGCUGAAUAUUGCUGCUCUCUGUAUGUAUGCCAGUUAAUUUUCCAUUUCCUCUUGCUAAAUUAAUGUGAUCAUACACUGAGGUACAAAGAAAGACGAUUUGGUCAAAGUAUUAUUUUGGUGCCGCCCGCCUAUGUUGGCUGGGUGGGAAUGAUGUACUGUGUACCUAACUACCUAUAAUGAAUUAGUUCAGCAAUGCCUUCAGCGACUAUACCUUUUACUGGUUUUAUCAGUUCAUCUUUAUCGUGCACCGUUUAUAACAUGUCAAUAGCUUGAAAUGUUCCUAUUUUGAUAUGACAUCUUGUUCGGUGUGUUGCUGAAGCUCCCUCUGGAACAUAUUUUGUAAUACUGAACUUCGAGCUUGUGAACAGUAAGCCAUGAAAAGUUACCUGAACAAGUAUUUUUUUUUGCGGGUACCUGAACAAGUAAUUCUUUUGCCAAAAAUCCAUACCUGAUGUUNNNNNNNNNNNNNNNNNNNNNNNNNNNNNNNNNNNNNNNNNNNNNNNNNNNNNNNNNNNNNNNNNNNNNNNNNNNNNNNNNNNNNNNNNNNNNNNNNNNNNNNNNNNNNNNNNNNNNNNNNNNNNNNNNNNNNNNNNNNNNNNNNNNNNNNNNNNNNNNNNNNNNNNNNNNNNNNNNNNNNNNNNNNNNNNNNNNNNNNNNNNNNNNNNNNNNNNNNNNNNNNNNNNNNNNNNNNNNNNNNNNNNNNNNNNNNNNNNNNNNNNNNNNNNNNNNNNNNNNNNNNNNNNNNNNNNNNNNNNNNNNNNNNNNNNNNNNNNNNNNNNNNNNNNNNNNNNNNNNNNNNNNNNNNNNNNNNNNNNNNNNNNNNNNNNNNNNNNNNNNNNNNNNNNNNNNNNNNNNNNNNNNNNNNNNNNNNNNNNNNNNNNNNNNNNNNNNNNNNNNNNUGGCGAUGUUUGUUAUAAGCUUAAAUGUCACGCAGUUUGUAUUUUGCUAUUUAUAUUGUUUUAACAUCUCACAUUAUGAAUGUUUUUUGAGGAAUUGGCAGCAUUGCGUGCCUAUAUAUUAAGUAGGAGAAAACAGUACAGAGACAUGCUCCUUGUAACAUGGAGAUGUUACAAAACAAAAGUAAAUAGAAAUAGAGGAGAAGAAAGGCCCAAAGCUAGCCCUCAAUCCGAUUCAGGUUCAGGUUCUGGUGCAUUCUCAAUGUCCGAUAGCCAGUGCAAGGAUAACGCUGGUUGAGAGAUGCCUUGCUAGAUAAGGUGGAGCACUUGGACUUCAGCAAGGUGACUGUUCUGAAAUACUCUGUGAUUCCGCUCCUUCCAAAUGUUCCAGUAUAUGGCAGUGGUGACAAGAUCCGAAUCCAAAUGGCAUGUCCGGUCAUUCCACCAAUCCUGGGAGGAGGUUGCAGAUUGGGCAUUCAUAGCUAGCGCAGGUCAAAUAAUCCAUUCAGCAACCAACAUACACACAGUUCGAGAGAGAGAGCAACUCAAGAUGAUGUUAGUUAAUUACACUAUGACAUCGCUUAGAUUUAAGCUCACGUUGGCAACUUGGGCCUUGGGGUACUAUAUUUCUCUUUCCUUAAUCCUUCACCAUUUUCAUAUGAAAGCAAGAUUGGGACGGUAUUUAUGUAUUCAUGGGCACUUUUCUUAACAUGCUUUGUCACACAGACACCUGAUAUUUAUUCUAGAGCAAUGCUAUGUAUCAGUUGCCCCGCAUAGUCAAAAGAAACAUCAACGUUUAGUUUAACAUAACAAGUAGGUGGAGGGGUCCAGCCUCCUCGUUUCAUUGCUGCUUUGGGAGGAUAAACAACAGCAUAAUUAUCUACUAGAGCUUCAAUUGAUCUUGACACCUUUGCACUUCCUUGAACUCCUGCUGUCAGGAAACACAUCUUUGUUUUUCCGCCUAUCGUGGAUUUGGUAUUGAGACCCUAGAUACGGAGUUCACUGAAACUGGGAAAUGCUAAAAGUCGACUACUCUGUGAUGCCAGAAUAAGGAGCUCAUUAAACUGAUAUCGACAUCUAUGGCCAUGCAGUUAUCUUCUGAUAUCCCAAACUAGUAUAGGUUACUUUGUGACUCGUAGAGAGUAGGUAGAGACUCAUACAUCUUGCAGUGAAGCAGCCUAGCAGGACCCUUUAUAUAAAGGAAAAGACGACCAGGUAUAAUUGGUUUCUUAUUCACACCUUUUUCGUGAGAGAAUCAUUUCAUUUUGUGCAGAGAAACCAUGUUAAGCCGAUGAAGGCACUACUAAGCACAUGUCACCUACCAUAUUCAUGCUAAAGGAGUUGCCAAUUGAAAUUGUUGUGAAGGUCGUGCGACAAGAAAUCAGAUUUGAAAAAUAUUUAACACACCAAAAAAGUCAGAUUGUAUUUUCCCGAAAACAUCUUAUAUUUCUGAAUAUAGGUAGUAUUAAAUUGAUGAAGCGUAUAUCCAUUUCGGCUCCCGAGCUCAUCUGAUCUCGGUGAGCAGUAAAAUUAAAACAAAUACUAAACCAAUUCAAAAUAUUCCAGAAUUUUUUUUGCGUGAAAUAUAUUUUAAUGCGUGAGGUCCAUGCCAAAUUUUAACUCAUUUGCACAUCUGAACUGCUCUCAGCAAAAAUAACAAAAUCUGUCCCUAACAGUGCAAAACAGUAUACUUUUUCACAAACCCUAAUUUUUAUUUUUUGUUGAGAGCUGCUCAUAUAUCCAAAUAAGCUGAAAUUUGGCAUGAACCUCACGAUUUAGACCAUCUUGCAUGCAAUUUCUUUUUGGAAUGUUUUGAAUUUUUAUAGUAUUUCUUUUUAUUUUGUACUGUUCAUGCGUAGGAGUAGAUGAGCUCAGGAGCCAUUUAGCCGCUCUCACUGAAGGCACUACUUUGCUUGAUAUUUCUCAUUGAGAGGCUCCGCCUCCCCGGUAUGCUAGCAGUAACCUUCGGAUUGCAUUUCUUUUUUUUUGUUAUUUCUCAUAAAGAUCUUUAGAUUAAACUUGAUUUACACAUGAAAAGGCCAACAUAAGAGCAACUCUAGCCGAUCCCUAAAAUACCGAGGAGUAUCUGGCCAAGUAAACUUUAGUGGAGUAUAUUUACUCCACUAAGUUUUGGCCGCUUCUAGCCGAUCCCAUAAAUUUAACGAAGUAAAAGUCAAAUUUGGAUAAUCAUAAAUUCGAUUUAAAUAAACUUCUAAGCUGAAAUUGGACACAUAAUUUACAUUACCGAAAAAGCCUUUCGCCACGCUUUAUAUAUAAAGCAAACCGCCGAGCUAGCAAGUCACAUAGAGUACGAAACACAUGCCACACGAACACACAAAACAGGCUGCAAGCCGCAAAGUGCAGGAGGGUUCUGAGGGCAGAACUCAACAAGGCCUAAAGAAAACAAAAGAGAACAAGGUGGUGAGAAGGCGUCCACAACCACGCCACGACCACACCACGGCCACAAAAUCUAAUCUGGCUCGGGAGUUGGAGGGGGAAGCGGAGGCGACACACGACGAGCCAACGUCCGAAGAUCUGCAAGGAGGAUGUCGACGACGUCUCGGUCCGACGCCCGGCGAAGCAACCGCCAAAGCUGCAAGUAACCACACAUUUUAUAGAUUGCGUCAGAAGGUUGUCGAAGAGGAGUAUGCUGAAUCACGAGCUUAUUACGGAUCAUCCAAAAUAUCCAUGCCAGAAUCCCAAUGCACAACCACCUAAUGUGGCGGAGCCUCAACGCAGUAGUCUGAAGUUCUGCGAAUAGGUCGGGGAAAUUGAUGUUACACUAGGCACCCCCACCUCUCGAAAGUAGCUCUAGAGGAAUUGCGCAGUUACCUAGGUAAAGAAGAUAUGGUUGGAAUUCUCUACUGUUCCGCAUAACGGGCACAAACCAUCACCAGGGCCAUUGCGCUUAAGCACCUCUACUCUAGAGGGCAGACGCACACAAAUCCAUUGCCAAAGGAACAUCAUCUUAAGUGGGAGCCGAAUAUCCCAAGUUUGAGUCAGCGGCUCCGAACCGGGGGAAGCAACGAUGGCCUAGUAUAGAGACUUAGUCGAGAAGUGGCCGGAAGGUUCCAGGUGCCAGGAGGUACGGUCCUGGGUCUGGUCGACAUCCGAAGGGUGAAGGGCAACACACUCUAGAAGUGCAAUACAAACGUCCUGAUCCAGGGGGCCAAAUGGCCGCCGGAAGGCGAGGCGUCCUAAGUCAAUACGGGCCGCCUACACCAAGAUAAGUGGCUCAACCACAAUGGCAAACAGCCCUGGAAAAUGGGCUGUAAAGGGGGUGUUGCCCACCUGUCGAACCAGAAUAAGGUGGACAACCCCGAGCCCACCGCAAUCAAGGAACCGAUUUGAAGGACCAGGAGUAACUGGGUUAUCAACUGCCAGAACUGGGAGCUCGCCGUUCUCUGGCAGAAAGCAAGCGUUUGUCCACGCAAGUACUUGGCUCUAAUAAGGUCCAUCCAUAGACCAUCCUCUCCUUCUCAACAUGCGAGAGCCAUCGCUUGAGCAGAGCGAUGUUCAUGCGCUUGGAGGAAAUAAUACCAAGUCCACCCUAGUCCUUGGGCUUGCAGAUGUCCAUCCAACGCACCACGUGGUAAUUUUGCUUGUCCUCAUCACCCGCCCAGAAAAAUCUGGACUAAUAUUUAGUAAUCUCCUGGUGUAGGGUUUCGUGAAGGCUAUAGAAGCUCACGAUGAACACCUAAAAAUAGCGCCGACGUACUUGACAUAAUCUGGCUGAGCAAUUAAACCUAGACCAAAUUUAGGAACUCCAUCAGGUAUUGCAUACCUACCUAAUAUUUAGGCACUCCAUCACGUCAGCACCCCCCCUCGUUCAUCUUGUACACGAGCAUAUCCAGGUGAUUCACCUCUCCCUCGUUCAUCUUCUACAUGAGCAUACCUAGCUAAUCAUCUCUCUAUCGUCCAUCUACUACACGAUCAUACUCAGGUGAUCAUCCCUCCAUCGUUCAUCUUGGCCAUGGCCGCCAUUGCCACCGUCAUGGUCGCCAAUCGCGCUCGCAUGCCGUUUUUUCUAUUUCUUUCCCAACUGCAGGUAUCUCCAUGCCAGGUUACAUAAGUGUCCUACUGCAAGAAGGAAGAAAAUUACUAGGGUUGGUCAUCGCAAAAAGGUUGCCCGUGCAGACCGCGACGAUGAAGAUUUCAUGGAGCCACUGAUCAGGUCAUCAUCACUUCAUGUUAUCCUGUUAAAUAUAUAACCUCCAUUUGUAGAUGCAAACCUAUUUCCAUUUCGUCCAUUGUAAAAGAAUUUAACAAAGAAAAGAAAUGCUUAGUCACUAAAAUGAAGUUUGAUGGAAUCUUAAAACUACUAGAUAUCACAAAUACUCAUGAUUUUAGCCACGCCCUUCUAUCUAGAUUAUCCAUUCAAGAUAUAACAAUCAGAAUGGGAGAUGGCUUCACAGGUGAUGAUGUUAACAAAGUAUUGGACCCGAUUCUUGGGAAAGGAGUUGUAAAUUCCUUCUACGGAAGAAAUCAGUGACAUAAAAAAUACAAUAUGCAUCCGAUUGAAAGUUCCGGAGUUUAAAAAAAUCAACCGCAGUCUACACGUUAUUAUCGUAACCAAGAAUUAUGAAACACAAGAUGACGACAUUGCUGCCUUCAAGACCGCAUUCAUUCUGCUUUUGAUGACAAAAUUCCUUGCGCCCCAAACUUUAUUGGACAAUAUAUGUCCAAGAUAUUUUAUGGCUCUGAAGAAUUUGGAUGAUAUUCCGAAUUGGAACUGGGCGAGGUAUGUCAUCAACGAAAUUAUAUCAACAACCCGGUCAUCGGUCAACAAACACAUUGAUGAGACAAAAGCCACAUACAUACAAGGAUGUGUCAUCUUUCUGCAGGUAUAUACAUUGCAUAAUAAAUCAGAAUUUGCACAAAUAAGUUGCAUAUAAUUUCAGGUAUUAAUUACAUUGUAUGUUAGGUAUUCUACUUGUACAACUUGAAAUCGGGUCCACUAAGUCUCAAGCAUGAUUGCUUCCCAUGAAUUAAAAGUAAGGAUUGCGUAUGAUAAACAUGCAUUAAAAGUAAGAAUGAAUAUGGACCUCAAAUAUUCAUCAACCCGAACUGGGUUGGCUUGUACGGAUUCUUCUCUUUGAGGUCCAUAUUCAUCCUUACUUUUAAUGCAUGUUGAUCAUAGGCCAUGAUUCAUGAGAAGCAAUACUGCUUGAGACUUAGUGGACUCAAUUCCAAGUUGUCCAAAUAGAACACCUGAAAUUAGAAUGUAAUUCAUAGCUGAAAUUAUAUGCAAGCUGUUUUUGCAAACUUAGAUUCAUUAUGCAAUGUAGAUACCUGCAGAAAGAUGACACAUCUUUGUAUGUAUGUGGCUUUUGUCUCAUCACUGAGCUUGUUGUCCAAUGCCCGGGCUGAUAUAAUGUCGUUCAUGACAUACCUCACCCAUUUCCAAUUUGGGAUGUCACCCGAAUUCUUGAGAGUCAAUAAAUAUCUUAGACAUAUAUUGUUUAGUAAAGUUUGGUGCGCAAGAAAUUUUGUCACCAAUAGCAGAAUGAAUGCAGUCUUGAAGGCUUCAUGAUUCUUGGUUAGAAUAACAACGAGUAGACCGUGGUUGAUUUUUUAAAACUCCAGGACUUUCAGUCAGAUGCAUAUGAUAUUUUUGAUGUCACUGAUUUCUUCCGCGGAAGAAAUUUCACAACUCCUUUCCCGAGAAUGUGGUACCCAAUACUUUGUUAACAUCAUCAUCUGUGAAAUAUAGAAGAGUUCCAUAUCCCAUUCUGAUUGCUAUUAGUUAGUAUUUCAUCCGUCCGGAAAUACUUGUCAUCAAAAUGGAUAAAAGGGAAUGUAUCUAGACGUAUUUUAGUUCGAGAUACAUCUCCUUUUAUCCAUUUUGAUGACAAGUAUUUUCGGACAGAGGAAGUACUAAACAGUAUAACGUAACUAUGCCUACGAGCCUCCACAGCAAUUUAGAUCUCGCAACCUUCGGAUCACUGUUCCAACGCGCAGGAUUUCCUCGUAGCCUAGCCUCCCAAAUUGUUUACGCUAAUUAUGUACCGCACGCUCGAGGCACCGUUUAGCGGGCCCCUGCUCCGCAAGAUGAGUUACGGUUUCUGCCCAUGAUUGGGCCGUAAGAUCAAAGGGCCAGUCCAGUCGAACGUGCAAAGAUUUCCCAUCCCAAAAAUGCUACACUUACGGGGCUGGAGUUACGGAAGGAAGUUACGAGACGACCUAUGCCAAUGCAAUCGAUCGCCUCUAUACCUGGCCAUGGGCAGCCCGGCCCGGUCAGCCCGAAAAAGCUCGACCCGGCUCGGCCCGACCUUAUCCACAGGCCGGGCUCGGGCCUAGAUUUCAAGCCCGAUGGCCGGGCCGGGCUGGGCCCGGGCCCGUCAUAUUCACGCGUUAAUGAAGAGGCCCGGCCCGAGGCCCGACAGGCUUUUAGUGUGUUAGGCUGGGCUCAAGCCUGGGUUUUUUGCAUAGGGCUUUGGUAGGCCCAGCCCGGCCAGACAGAUGGCCAGUUAUAUCGCCUCCCCUGCAUUUAAAUGUGGGGACCGGCCCGUGAUUAAUCCUUCCGCGUCCACCUCAGCCCCGUAAGUGUUUUCUGUAGAAAAUUUCGGUAAGUGUAGCACCGCUGUUUUCCCAUCCUGAUUCCUACGUUCAGGGCUUCAGGCCAGGUCGUCCAGGUUUUCUAUCGCCACCGCCAUCCCCGGCCGAGCUGCCCCGCUGUUCCUUGGCGUUGCGCCUCCGCCGCCGUCCUUCAUCCCAUCGUCUCUACUGCAUAUCUAUCUCGGUGUCCGUGGCCUCCACUCACCCUCAACUCUUCCUCCGCAGGCUCUACCUUUUCACUUCCCAGUCCAUGCAUGGUGGUUGAUGUCUGUUACUACUCAUUCACCUUCAUCUCCUUUUCCCUCUGAGGAAAAUCUCUCCUCCUCUACUUCGUGCGAGCCUACUAAUCCUUUGCCCCGUUUCUAAUUUGAUUUAGCACUUCAUUUGUCUGGCAGAGAUGUUUGUUGCCAGGUUCAUUCAUGGCUUCUACCGUAAUGAUUUAGUUUGCACCUUAUUUCAUCCUUGUUGCUAGGAUGGUGCUGGGGAGGGUGACGCGGACACCAAGAGAAGCGAGGGCCAGGAUGACUUUCUUGACGACGACUUCAGCAAGGAUGAAGAUGACUACGCCAACAAGAGAAGCUGAAUGUCGGUCCAGCAAGAAGCACCAGCCGAAUAAUUUUCCAUGGAUAUGUUUCUCCAUGACCUCCUUGUUUUUGGUAUGUCCUGUGAUGAAGAUAAUAAUGUAGUGCUUGCAAACAAGUUAUGUUCGGUCUCUUAGCUACGUUCUGUACGUCUGCUUUGUGUACUGUGUGCUGGAUUCAUAGUAUGGUGCGGACUUGAACCUGAACUCUGCAUGUAUUGGACGCUGUGAAAUUGCAUCUUCAGUAGCUGCUUGCUAUAUCCGUUGCUAAAGUUCAUAGUUCAGUACUUCAGGUGCACUUGCAUAGGUCAAGCAGGUUGGAAUGCAAACCCCAUCUGGCGAUCCCGUGAUUGAAAACUGACUUUCAGUGAAAUGUUGGGGGUACACCUCCAAUUAGUGUCUGUAGCUGUCGAGGUCUUUCUCCACGAUGAAUACCCACAGCUGGGCAUAGACCUGUAGUGGCUUGACUGGACAGGGAGGUGACGGUAGUUGCACGAUGACGAUCGUCGUCACCGACGAUGGCGAGUUUACAUCCAUAUCUGGAUCAUGCCUUCCCCCUUACCUUCCCAAGAUACCGCAUGCGACGCCAUGGACCUGAUAUGUGUCCCUGUAGACGAAACCGUAUGGUUUGGGCUCCUUGGGACCCCUCUCUUUCCUCAUAGCAUCUCCAACAGGCGCGGCAAAAGGCGCGCCCGCGCGGUACAGUUUGGUUUUAGCGCGCGCCGGCUGGUUCCGCGCGCUCCAGCAGUGGCCGGAACUUACCGCGCGCGGGAGAAAGCGGCACGCGACGCGGUAGAUUUGGCGCGCCGCUUCGCGCGCCUAUAAAAUCUCGCGCUCGCCACGCGCACAGAACACAGCCACGCGCCCUCCCCUCGCAACCUCGCCGCUUCGCCGCUUUCCGUGCCACCACCGCGCCACCAUGCCGCCGCGCCGCCGGGGUUCUUCGGGUUACCGCGGCGUCCGCGAGGGCCCCAACGGCUGGUACUCCGCCGAGAUCCGGUCCGGCGACGUCCGGCUCGGCCUCGGGUCGUUCCGGAGCGCGCACGAGGCGGCCCGCGCGUACAACGCGGCGGCGUGGCGCUUGGAGAGGCCCCGGUCGCAGAUGAACUUCCGGGACGUCUUCACGCGCGAGCAGGCGCAGCGCGUCGCCCCUCCGCUGCGUCUCAUCACCGACAUGGACCGUGCCGACCACGCUCGGCGGCAGCGCCGCCUCCUCAUCGCCGAGGAGGACGAGCGAGCCAUGGCGGAGUGGCGCCGUCGCCACCCGGAGGACGUCGCCGACGAGCGUGCCUACUGGGCGGAGAGGACGGCAAGGUGCCGCGCGGAGCGGGCGGACCGGCGUCGGCGGAAGGAAUUAGCGAAUGCGUAGUCCGAUAUCGUUGCAGCAGGUGGGAGGUCGAUCUUCACGUCAGACGAUGAACGUUGGGACAACAUGUGGCUCGAUACCUCGGACAACACUGACGAGGAUGAUGAUGAUGAUGAUGGUAGCGACUUGGAGUAGUUUCUAUCUAUGUAUGCCGUAGUAGUUUCUAUCUAGUUGCACCGUAGUUCUACCUAUCUAUGCUUUCGAACUAUCUAUCUAGUUGCACCUAUGUAAAAUACCUUUGUAUCGUUUUUUAUCUAUGCAAUUUUUAUAAAAAAAAAGUUGUAGAAUGAGCGCGCACUGCUGGAGCUGCGCGCGCUGCUUUUUAGCGCGGCUGCUGGAGCCAGCGCUGCGCGCCGCGCCAAACCAGGCGAUGGGCGCGCGGCAAAGCAGUUUUUAGCGCGCGGCGCGUUCGGCGCCUGUUGGAGAUGCUCUCGAUCUCCCGCACCCGCUCGUCGCCAGUCCAUUGCGGCAGCUCCCUCCUCUCCUUCGAGAUGACGACACCUUGCGUCGGAACUCCUCCACAUCAAGCAAAAAAAAACUGAACUAAAAUAUCACCUGAUGUAUCUGUUCAGUAUCGUACAACAUCUUGUAUACGAGUUAGUGACAACAAGAUACUAGCUUGCUCUCGAUGAAACAAUGUGAAAUAGCAAAUAUCACAUCUAACUUGUCUACCGUUGGAUUUUCACGUGCUAAGAUUUGUGUUUCUGGUCGAUCGCCUGGCUUGUCGCUUGUCGCGGUGCGUUCUGGUUCGCGGUGUUAUUAGUAGCGAGGCCCAGCAGGAAUUGUUAGAUGGGCCGGUUGUGUUUUGUUUGUCUUUUCUUGUUUGACUCAUGCGACUGUUGAUCCUUAGAAAAAAAAGACUCACACAGCUGUACGAGGGUUUGUCACGAGAGUGCCACGAAUCCACGUGUCUUGAUCCUUUUGUGGUUAACUCAAAACACAUGAAUGGAUUGACUCUCUAGUCUCCCAUUUCUGUUACAUUUUUAAGCACCAUGCAGUUGCACUAUCUCCUUGUACCAACAUUUCAUUUUGUAUUCAGGUUAAAAAACAUUUCAUUUAUUAUAUUUUAUUUGUCUUUUUUCUAUCGCCCAAAUAAUAUCCUAAGCGAGACCACGUGAUCAAAUUUCUAAUUUCACGCAUACUAGAUGUUGUUUGUUGGACUUUAUUGUUUUAAUUUUUCUGCACACUCUGGAUCUCAUGUUGGCGGCCGAUGUAUUCCUAUGUCACCAUGUUUUGUUUGUUCACUUGUCAGGUCUUUGUUUGCUUGAGCUCCAUUUCUUCUGACAUGUGUUGUAAAAGUGGAGGUGACAUGCUCUAUUGCUUGUCGCUAUGUAUUUCUAUUUACUUUCAAGUUCAAUGUCGAAGAGACAAGCUCCGUGGAGAGAUAGGCUUUGGCUUGAGCUUGAUACGUAACUGGGCUUGAUCAGUUUUUGUCCUCGGUGCGAGUCCAUUCUUGACACGCAAUUCGAGGACCAGAUUGUUUUCUGUUUUUGUUUUUCCAUUUUUUAAAUUCAUGAUUUUGUUUUUUGUUUUCACAUCUAUUUUAGAUAUCUCUAUUUUUAUUUUUUUCGGAUUAGCUAAUUCCCAUCUAGAUGUUUUUAGCUAUGUCACACCUAAGUUGUUCACCACGCGAUUAAACAUAUAUGUUUUGUGCAAAAUUAUUUUGUUCACAUGCAUGUGCCUUGUCUCGUGAUGGUGUUUGCACUGUUGGGCCGGUUUUUGGUGUCGCUCUUGUGGCCGUUUAUUCUCGUUGUCUCCUAUGCUUGCGCCGGUGUUAGUAUAUGGUCCUCUAUUUCACAAAAGUUAUUCCUCGUCGAGAUGAGAUUUGGCAUUGUCUCAUCUAAUUUUCAAACGUACAAUUUCGUAUACCGUUUCAUCCCAGUUGCAAGUCGACCCUUGACUCGCAACUGAGCACAUGAUUUAGUAGUUGUACCAGUUGCAAGUCUGUUGUUGACUCGCAAGUGGGCUCAUAGUUAUCCGAGUUGCAAGCCCGCCAUCGACUUGCAACUGAAGCCUAUGUUUUUGUUUUUCAUCCCAGUUGCAAGUCCAUCCUCCACUCGCAACUGGGCUCAUUUUUUGUUUCAUCCCAGCUGCAAGCUCAUUGUUAACUCGCAACUCCAAAUGUAUUUUCACUUUCAUCGCAGUUGCAGGUCUACCCUUAACUCGCAGCUGGCCCAUAGAUUGUUUCAUUCCAGUUGCAAGUCAAUCAUCGACUCGCAAGUGGGUUCAUAGUUUUUCGAGUUGCAAGCCCACCCUCGACUUGCAACUGAAGUCUAUGUUUUUAUUGUCCCAGUUACAAGUCUACCCUUGACUCGCAACUGGGUUGUUUUAUUUCUCAUCCCAGUCGCAAGUCCAUCAUCCACUCGCAAUUGGGCCCAUUUUUUGUUUCAUCCCAUCUGCAAGCUCAUUGUUAACUCACAACUCCAAAUGUAUUUUCACUUUCAUCGCAGUUGCAGGUCCACCCUUAACUUGCAACUGGCCCAUAGAUUGUUUCAUCCGAGUUGCAAGUCAAUCAUCGACUCGCAAGUGGGUUCAUAGUUUUUCGAGUUGCAAGCCCACCCUCGACUGGCAACUGAAGUCUAUGUUUUUAUUGUCCCAGUUACAAGUCUACCCUUGACUCGCAACUGGCCGGUUGUUUUAUUUUGCAUCCCAGCUGCAAGUCCGCGCUCGACUCGCAACUGGGCUCGUAUUUUCUCCUUGUCCAGUUGUGACUCCACCCUUGACUCGCAAAUAGUAUCGUAGUUUUUGUGUAGUUGUCCUUGUUAUAAGUUUGCACUCACAACUAAGCCUGCAACUAAACCCAUAGUUUGUUUUCAUCCCCAGUUGCAAGUCCUCCCUUGACUCGCAACUAGGCUUGUAGUUUCGUAGUUGUCCCAGUUGCAAGUCCACCUUCGACUCGCAACUAGGCAUAUAGAUUUGUUGUUGUACUAGUUGCAAGUUCACCAUCGACUCGCAACUCCUAGCGUAGUUUUGUGUAGUUGUCCCAGCUGCAAGUCCAUCCUCGACUCGCAACUGGUAUUGUUGUUUUGUGUAGUUGUCCCAGUUACAAGUCCACUCUUGACUCGCAACUGGGCUAUAAUCAAUUUUUCAUCCUAGUUAAAAGUCCAUCAUUGACAUGCAACUCGGCCAUUGACCCUUUUAUUUGCCCCAGUUGCAAGUCCAUCCUUGACUGGCAACUGGCCCCGACAUUUUGUUACCCAAUUUCAAGUCCACCAUCAACUCGCAACUAGGUUCGACCAUUUUUUUGUCCCAAUGUACAUUUUUUAAAUUCAUGACCUUUUUUUUGAAUUCUUGAACAUUUCUUUUAUUCAUGAAUAUUUUUAGAAAAUCAUGAAAAUUUAACAAGUCCAUGAAUAUCAUUUUAAUUCACCAAUAUGUAUUGAAUUGGUGAAAACUUUUGAAGUUAGCGAACAUUUUUCAAAUUCUUGAACAUCUUUUAUAUCGCGAAUAUAUUUUUCUAAUUUCUGACCUUUUUUGAAUUGAUGAACACUUUUUAAGCUACCACUAUUUUUAUUUCAAAUUCUUAAAAAGAAAUCAUAAACUUUUUUCAUGUUUUGCGGAUGGGGUAAAUUGACCUAAAAGACGUCAACCUAGGGACAAGCUGGAGGGCACUUUGCAAAAAAAAAAACUGAAGGGUACGUGCUUUAUACACAAUAGGGCUGCUUCUCAUCCAUGCAGACUAGUACAGUAUCAAUCAAGUCAAGGCCAGCGAGGGAGCCGAGCUAGCUAGCGCUGACCAGGCAGCCCGCAUGUGUUCAACCUGACAGCACACAAAAGCGGAAAAGGCUAAAAAACAGACAAACAACAAAAAAGUCCAGCAGGGAUGAUUACAAAACACAUGACAUCAUACUUAGAUAAUAUCACAUCUAGAUGUAACAUAGACAGACCCAAAAAGAAAUACUAGCUUGCUGCGUGUUUCAACGAAUGCAGCACGUGCCUAUUUUGAAAAAAUAGUACUGUACUAAUAAAAACCACAAAAAAAAAACCAGAGGAAGGGCUCUGGGAGCUGGUUCGCACGUGUGGCGUCAUGGGCCUACAGCGCCACUUUCGGCCCGAUACACACGCACUGCCUCUUCCUUCCCCGUUCUCCCAAGAGUGAUAGAGUCCAGGGCCGUCUACAGGCCUGUGCGAGCUGUGCGCUCGCACAGGGCCCCAAAAAGUCAGGGCCCCCCAAUUUGGGUCCAAAUUUAUGUACUAGUCUGAAACGUGCACCUUUUAGUUUUGGGCCUACGUCUGCCUGGUCGCUGAAGCUCACAGUUUGGGCCUCUUGGGGCUGGUCAGCUCCCGCUAAUCGCUAGUCCAUCAUCCGGAAGUCGGUCGAUCGAAAGACAAACGGAAGCGCACGUAUGUGUAUACGUAUCCUGGGCGGCUUGGGAUCUUUCACUUUGGCAGUCAGAUCGGCUAGGUCAUAGGGCUGUCAGGCGGCACGCAGCACGGCGGCAUCACAACGGCACAGGAAUUGGAGGCGCCGGUCCCGACGACACCCUCGCACCCGCAGACGAACAGAAGGGAGAAGGCUAGCAGGUUGAAGGAGUAAUCGGUGCCCCUGCGGCAAGGGAUCGGCUACCCCAUUAAUUCAUCUAUCUCUGAGUUUUUGACAAGCCUAUAAUUUAGUUUUUUUUAGAACUGACAAGCCUAUAAUUUAGUAUUCGAGAAGGAAAAAACAAGCCUAUAAUUCAAGGUUUUAUCUUCUUCUGUUCUACUACUAUCUUGAAUUCUUUUUAUUUUUGCGGUGUACUAUCUUGAAUUCCUGGCAAGCCUAUAAGUCAUGGAGUUCCAAUGCAUUGAUAUUAUUUUUGUUUUGGUUCAUAAAUAGAAACACUCAUGCAUUCUUGGUAUUCUAUGUGCAUUCUACUAUGACACAUGAAAGAUUCGAUGGAUUGGCGACAAUAGCCCUUGAAAAUGAUGCCUUGGAGAAGAUUAAUUAAGAAGAUAUAAUUAAAGAAGUCAUUUCAAAGAACACAAGACGAAAGAAGGCAAAAAGGAUGCCACAUUUUGAUAACACGAGGUUAGCUUAUUGUUUUACUUAUACCAUUUGUCUUUUGCAUUGGUAUUUGGUAUACUCCUAAAUAUUGUAAGAAAUAACAUACAUUUAGGUUAUAUAAUCAAGUGAGAUUCUGCUUGAGUUAUACUAUAAGUUUUUUUUUUAAAGAAAAUUAGGGUCCCAUUUUGCUUUUCGCACCGGGCCCCCAAAUUUCUGGAGACGGCCCUGAUAGAGUCCAUGCCCGCACGGGAGGCACUCCACCGGAAUCCUCCGUCGUUGCCGCCCUCCCUACGUCUCUCCCUCUAAGCGGCGACUCCUCGAACUAAUCCAGGUGAUUCCUCGAUCUAGUCCACGGUGUCUCUGUUUCUUGCCAUUGUAAGGAGGUAGAUGAGAUUGGCGGCGAGCAUUGCCGACGACCGGGGAGGAGGAAGGGGAGGAAGAUGGAGGCCACAUGCGCAUAGACGGAUCCGCGGGGGCGCAUACGGGCGGUGGAGUAGCGGGAGGCGCCGGCCGGCGACCAGUCCGGGUAAGUGGGCGACGGUGUUCCCACUGCAGUUUUUUUAGUCCCACAUCGUUAGUUUAGCAGCAAUUGCAGGAAUUUAUAGACGCUCGCCUUCGCAAGGCUAUCACCAAGUAGAGUAGUAGUCUCUCUGUAAAGGUGUAUAAGAGCGUUUAGAUCACCAUUUAUAUUUUUUUUAUACAGGGAGUAGUAGAUAGUAGUAGAGACUUGUAAAAUGCGGUAGACCUAUAGGUAUAGGAUAGAACAUGGCGUGUACAUGGUCUACGGUUGUACGGGCAUGGGAAUAGGGGGGUAUGGCUGGAAGGGCCGGGCUGUGGGGGUGGUUAUAGGGGGAGGUACAUCUCCCAGGAANNNNNNNNNNNNNNNNNNNNNNNNNNNNNNNNNNNNNNNNNNNNNNNNNNNNNNNNNNNNNNNNNNNNNNNNNNNNNNNNNNNNNNNNNNNNNNNNNNNNNNNNNNNNNNNNNNNNNNNNNNNNNNNNNNNNNNNNNNNNNNNNNNNNNNNNNNNNNNNNNNNNNNNNNNNNNNNNNNNNNNNNNNNNNNNNNNNNNNNNNNNNNNNNNNNNNNNNNNNNNNNNNNNNNNNNNNNNNNNNNNNNNNNNNNNNNNNNNNNNNNNNNNNNNNNNNNNNNNNNNNNNNNNNNNNNNNNNNNNNNNNNNNNNNNNNNNNNNNNNNNNNNNNNNNNNNNNNNNNNNNNNNNNNNAAAUAAAAUGGUGGGUUCAAACUUCUGCAAUUCUCUUUUGUUUCCUAUCAACCAAUUUAUUGAAUUCUCUUGAUUUAGGUGAUAUUAAAAAAACAAUUUAUUGCAAAUUUGUAAUCCUUUUUUGUUUCCCAUUUUGUCAUCAACCUCUAGAAUUUAACUUGGUUUAGGUGUCAUAUUUAUUAAUCUUGGACAAAAAGUAUAGUUUCCUUCACUUUCUAGAGCUUGAUAUAAUAAAGGGUGUGGCUAGCUUUCAGUCGAUUGAGAUUUAACCAAGUCUCAGUCAAGUGACAUAUUAUAUAAGAAGAAGAAAGAAAAAGCCAAAAAGAAAAAUUUUCACGGAUCUACACGCAAGAUCGAACGAAUAUAGCAGUGACCGAGACAUAACCAAGUCUCAGUCGAUUGAGAUUUAGCAGAACUGUAUAAUAAAAGGUGUGAUUUUCAAGGCGAUUUCAGGUUCUGGAAUUUGUAACUGUCAUUUGACAAUUGUGAGAUUAACUUCAGCUAUUGCAUUGUUAUUUACUUGUAUUGUUUAUACCACAUACUUUCCACGUGUGAUUUGGCACCUGAAUGUACUUGUUAAGUCGUUAGUGAUAUAUCAUUACCGAAAGAAAAAUCAAAGCACAAAAUAAGCGUGCUUUUAUUGAGCAUUUAUUCUUGUAUGAAUGCCCAUGCAUGCAGGUUUGAUCUCUUGAUUGAACCAAGCAUGCUCCCUCCGUCAGAAAUUACUUAUCGCAGAAAUGAAUGAAAAUGCAAGAUCAACACAAGUUCACCAUCUUCUAAUGAAUUGGCAGCGUCCCAGCCUAUUUCAUCAAACAAUAAUUCUACACUUACGAAAGAUGCUACGUAAGUUUAGUAAACCACCCCUAAAUCCUCUCCUCCGCCCCCUGAUUUUAACGGGGGUGGGGCCCAACCGCUAAUCCUGAUCCAAUUAAUUACCUCGACGUCAGUUUUUACGUAAAAUCUUCACGUUAGCUUUCGUACGUGUAGCAUUGCUCUUCAUCAAAAUAAGCACUAAAGCGCCUGGUGAUAACGUAAUCAAAGUCCUGCAUAGAGAUAAUAAAUAGUCAAAACAAAAAAAGACCUAGAAAUCAAAAUGGAGUGUAAUGUUUUUAUGGAUCUCAGGAAAGUCAUACACAAUUUCAAAAAAAAAGGAAAGUCAUACACAAAUAAAGCAGAUAACAUAAUAAUCAACCAAUUCACACAAAAGAAAACAAUAAUAAUCAACCAAAGCGAAGAUAGGAAAAAUCAUACGUAUAUAUUAAAGAAAGACAGGAAAAGGAACAAAUAGUACAUGCAUCGAGUCAUCCUUGGAGGGCAGACGACUGUACAAGUUGAAGACCAUGCUGGUCCUCCUCCUGCUGGGCCGGAACCGCGAGGGUAGGAGGAAAUACAGCCCCAUCACCAUGACCACCACCUUCAACGGCGUCCAGUACAGCACGACGGCGACCACCAGGGAGAGCAUGAUGAAGAUGGGCGUUACCCUGUGGUCUCUCCAGCUAAGCAGCGACUGCGCGCGCUCCGCGUGCAUAGCCAGGUCGCCGAGCUCCCUUUGCAACCUGCCGGCGACGCUCCGCAGCCGGUCGUAUCUCAGCUUCACGAUGUCAUCCGGCGUGGACGUCGAGAACGUGUCGAACUCCUCUUCCAGCUCGUCGGGUUGCGCCUGAUCUGCGUACGACAGCACCGUGUCUAUAUGCGGCGGAUUCCGCGGCCGCCGCGGGUAGUUCCACACCCCGAUCAUGACCACGAGCACGAGCACCAUCGGCAGGAUCAGCUGCGGGUAGCACACCAGGUACAGGAACAGCACGUGGACCAGAAUCGUCGACAGUGGGUUCUUCCACUCGCAAAUGUCGUCGAACCAUUUGGCGACGGCGGUGGCGCCGGAGUAGAGGGAGGCGAUGCGUUGGAAGUUGGACUGGCUACGACGCAGGCUGAACAUUUGUGGGUCUACGUCGAGCAUGUACUCCACCACCUCCCUCCGCAGUGGUGGCUCCGCCCUGGCCAGCCGCGUAACCACCCUCUGCACCGCAUCCGCCUGCAACCAGAGGGGGUCCACCUGCGGCAUCGUGAUUGGGUCGGUGUGGUGUAUGUGUAUCGUGGGAGGCAGCGGUUUGCCGUACGUGGCCAGCAUUUUGGCCCACGACCUGCAGGUGAAGCGGACGGCAAGGUGGAGUUCGCCGGUCUUCUUCAGCCCCGUCCGGGUGAGCACCAUGAGGGCAUGUACAACGCCGGCGCUAAUGACAGGCGCUAGGAUUCACUUCCUAGCCGUUAUGGUCUAAUCCUGGUUGAUCCCAGGAUUAUUGCUAGCGUCGAUGCCAGGGCUGCCAUCGGGCGCUUCGUUCUUUUUUUCUUUCCUCUGAGCUGUUUAACGAGCGUUGCCCCUUUUCUUCUACGAGAAACCCAUUGCAUUAGCGCUCGACCAGGCGCCCAUGCGUUGAGGAGACGGACUCCUACAGCGACGCCACUUCUUUAAUUAAUUCUUUUUAUUGCCUAAGCGUUCAAAUAAGCGCUCUUGCAUUGUAGAUGCCCUGAGCGGGUAGUGUUGGGUGUACAUGCGGUUGGUCUCGAGGGUGGCGAGGCGGAUGCGCACCUUGCCCAUCUGGUGGUCAUCACCGCCAUGGGAGGAGGAGAGAUGGCAGUCGUCGAAAACAGCGACGGUGACGGCGGUGUUGAGGUCCAGCACGUUCCAGGUGUACUGCUCGUUCCACUACGGCACCGCCGUGGCGAACAACGUGCCUGUGCGCACCCACUUCUCGCCGUACUUGACGACGCAGUAAGGGUCGGUGAGGCCCCCCUCUUUAUCCUUCAUGCUCACCAGGCCUCGCGCGCUGAGGAUGUCCACCUCCAAGAUGCCAAUGGCGCCCUUGCGGAGCUUCUUCACCGAUGAUGAAAAAGCACGUAGUUUGAAUGUGUUUUUUACCUGCAAAUUUCAAGUUUGUAUGUUGUAUGGCAUAUAGGAGUAUAACACAAGAGAGAGAGAGAGAUAAAAUUUAGAGAUGCGUGAGGUUUAUUUCAACCCUUGUUUCUGAUUUUUUUUUUGGGAUUUUGGCUUUCUAUUUGUAUUUUUGUUUUAUUUUUUCUAUGUUUUUGUUUAAAUAAAUAAAUAUAAAUAUUUUUGAAAAAUGAAUGAACAUUUUUUAUACUACAUGAAAUUUUCAACUCCAUUAUUUUUUGGAGGGGAUUCAACUCCAUAAUAUAUAUGCACUUUGUAUUAAUCCUAAUGACGGUUUUUCAUUCAGUUACUAUUCUGACUGCCCAUGAGCCCAUCACAUUUUUUUUUUGAGAAAAUGAGCCCAACACAUGCUUGCUGACCACCGCUCUCGGCCUGUUGGGCUAUGUGACUGCGGCCCAAAUCAUUCUCGGGCUGGUUGCGCUCUGAUUACCUUGUUGAGUUUCUAGCAUUUUCUCGUCAUUUUUUUUUGCGGGUAAAAAAAAUCACUACGAUUUUUAAUUUUACUUAAGGUAGAUUUUUUUCUUUUUGAAUAGGGGUAACAACAAAAUCCGAAAAGAAAUGAUGAAAAAUAACAAUAUAUACCUAAAAUGAGUAAUUCCGACAAUUUAUUUGAAACUUGACAAUGCAAUAUUUUUGUAAUUAUUGCAAGGAGGAUCUCUUCAACAUUGAAUGAAUACAAAAUGCAUAUAUAGCCUACAAUAAAAUUUCUAAAAUUAGCUUUGAUUUAUUUAUUUUAUUUUUAUUUAAGAAAAGUAGGGCUCACUGAUUCAAAUUAUAUAAAUUUAUGAUAUUGGCACACUGUUCAAACUGAAUUGCGUUAAAAUUACAUCCACUGUUCAACACUACAUGACUUUCUAGAAAGCAUGAUGCCAAUUUUUUCUGAUUUCGAUCACUAUAUUUUUCGUGGCGAAUAAUAUAAUGAUAUACAACUAUUUAAGUUGCAUAUUCAUAGCAGAGGUAAAGUGAUGGCCAAAGUUAAACAUUGGAGGCUAUAAAAGAAUAUCUAAAACCCAACUGUAUCUUCAAAUGAAGGGACUCUUUUCUUUUAUAUAAAAUUAAUAAUUAUUUUUGAAAAUAUAUCUCAUAAUAGGUUUAGUUAUAUUAACUUGGUGUUAUCUUUAUUACUAAUUAUUAAUAUGUUGAUGGUUGAACUUAAAAAUGUUUGAUUGAUUUUUUUUUUCUAAAACUAACAUUAUGAUCCAGAGAUAGUAUGUUAAAAGAAGGUUAUAGUGUCGAAAGAGGGAUGUGUGAGUCAGUGUGACUAAAUAACCUAGAGUUAUGGGACUCAUGCCACUAAUCAUCAAGCACCAAAGCUAGUAAUUUAGCAGAUCAAAUGAUUCCAACCCAAGAAUCUAAGUGUUAUCUGUAGCGACACAGAAUUAAAAGGAGCAAUAUAUAAAUUCGCAAAUUGUUGAUAUACCUGGAUAGUUUCCAUUUCAUGAAGUCUAUCAACUAUAGUUAGUGCACUAGUUGGCCUUUUCUUUGGAUCGAAGUCUCUGCACUCUAAAGCUGUCUCGUAGCAUACUCGUAUUUGUUUGCAUAGCGUAUCUCGUUGGGAUCCCUCCAACCUAUCACUCCAACUUUCAAUUACCUACAAAAUUACAUUGGUGUGUUAUGGUCUACACAUUGAACCAGCAACAUAUUUUUAUAGAUGAAAAUUACCGACCACAUAAUUUAAGCAUCAAACUAACAACAAAUUUCUAUAAAAGAAGAUUGUGUCCCAAUAGAUUCAAGUCAGAUCUAUCACCAUAUACAUUGCACUUUCAUGUUUGAUCAAAACAAGUAGAAAUAAAAUGUAGAAUCCUUCUCGCAAAUGAUAAGAUACAUGAGUAUAUUUGUGUCUGCAUCAUAAAUUUGCAAAGUAUGAGCUGGACAACUAUUUAAAAGUCAACCCUUCUUAGGCUAAAAGGAAAUUGAACUUUUAUCUUUCGAACAAUGACAUAUGUUGUUCUUACAUCGUCGGUAGCUUGAUACCCCUUCUGCCCAGUCAGUAUUUCAAUGAUGAUCACACCAAGACUGUACAAGUCAGCGCUGUGUGCAAUCACACCACCUUCGCGAUGUUCUGGCGCCAAAUAUCCCCUAUAAGAAAAUAUAAAGUUUUGACUAAGUAAUGCAGAAAGAGAGUGCAGUUUUAACAAAAUAGCCUGAAACACUGAGUUUAAUUUAAAGAGAAGUCAUCUAGCUUACAUUGUCCCUAAAAUAGUUUUGGUAAUAUCCCGACUUUGAUUUUCGUCGAAGCAUCUCGACAGACCAAAAUCAGUUAUUUUUGGUGCCAUGUUAUCAUCAAGCAGUAUAUUGGCUGGUUUCAGAUCCAAAUGAGCAAUAUGAUUCUCAUGAAGGUACUGUAGACCCUCACAAAUCCCUUUAAUGAUUUUAUAGCACGUUCCCCACUCACGACUUGCAUCUAUAAAGGGAAAAGGAGAAACCGGGUUUACAAUUUGAUGUCAUGACUUUUGGAAACUAGAUGUUAUAUGACACAUUAAGCAAUUUGUAGUAAAUGAGAAAAAUAGAGAGAAAAGUUAGAGGCCACAUGGUCGUACCCAUGAUAUACUUAUCAAGACUGCCUUUAGGUAUAUAUUCGAAGCAAAGCAAUCUUUCAUGAACAUCUGCCAUGACAAGUUUCUUGUCAAAUUCUUCCAUACUUCCUUGCCUGUCAGCGCAAUAUCCUAAAAAUCUUACUACAUUUUUGUGCUUGACCCGCAUCAGGCAUUGGACCUCUCGAUGAAAUUCUGUUUCAUCCAUUAAAGCGUUGGACAGCCUCUUCACGGCGACCGCCCUAUUGCCAAUUAUUCCCUGCUUUUGGAGCAUGUAGGCCCUGUUAGCAUAUCAUCGGUUUCGUUUCGAGUUACCAAAUCAAGCAUGCUUAGGAUUGCAAUGUACUACACCUUAUAAACGACUGCAAAUCCACCGCUUCCAAUCUGUUGGUCAUCAGAGAAAUCACCUGUAAUGUCCUGUAAAAGUGAUAAUGGCAGGGCCUUGGGCUCUGCGGUUUCAUCGGCUAACAUCUCCUCUAGGUCACUUCGUGCAGUACUAGCUUUGCGUUCCAUUUGCAGUCAGUAAGCAAUUUAACCUGAAAACAAGAGCAAACUGAUUAUAUACUGUAUGUAGUAUGAGCCUACUAGACCAAGAUCCCCAAUUACCCGGGUAGCUAAUUAAUAUUGAUAUCGAUAUAUACAGUACCGAACAAAUUAAGAUCACUCACCUGUAUAUUAUGCAAAAAGAAAGCAGUAACGUUGACUUUGGCUCCCCUUGUUGCGUUUACUGCUGCGACUCAGACUCUCUCCGAGCCGUGCCGCUUAACAGCGCAGUCUAGCUGCAAGAGAGCUUCGACCAAUUAGUGAUAAUCCGCAGACGCCAGCAGCAGCAGCAGCUUCUCAGAUUGAAGCUAGCGAGAACACGAUCUGCAAUUUGGGACCCAUUCAGUGAAAAGAAACUGAGAAUUACCACCUGGACAGGCCAUGCUGCUGCCUAGUGAAGACGAUUGAGCUUCAGAUUUACCUGCCUAGUGAAGGGGAAGGGGAUUUGGUAUCGGCCUAUCAAGUCAACGGCACCUUGAGAACACGCUUGAGCUGCCUCUGGAUGAAUGCGUCUCUGUGUGUGGUGCCAGCAGCAUCCCAACCCCACAUGAUAGAUAAUACUGUGGACGCGGCUGCGCUGGCGAGAGUGCCGCGAGGAUUCACACUGGAACACGCAUGGACGAAUUCAAAGCAAAUGCGCACCGAUGUUGCGGAUUCCAUAUCCUAAACAAUAGUACUAUUUUUAAACAAAAUCAAACACGGAUCUUGAGUACCGAUGCAGAGUUCUGACAAAAAAUUAAUAAAAAGAAAGAAACAAACAAGAGUGCCAAUGCGGAGAAUAUCGGUCAGAAUAUGAAUUGAAUAUGGAGCGAGCCAAUAGAGACACCCCGAGCUUCCAGAUAGAGAUUUAUACAUGGAACUAACAAAAAAUUAUCCAUGUGUCGCCACCAGGAAGUAUCCUUUUCAUUAUUUAACUGCGGGAGGAGACCUCUUCAAUAAACUCAUUCCAAGGGGUCAAAUAGUACCGAUAGGUCAAGGGAUUUUUCAUCGGGUUCUAGUCACUAGAUGACCCGUUGCGCACUUGGCAUAAAAAAAUGUCGACAAGAAGUUAAGAAGGCUAUUUGACACCCCUAUAAACCCUUUAGGACAUGCACACGUCGCCAUGUCCUAUAAACCCCCUUGACACCACGUGCAUAGCUAGCUAGCUCGCGAGCGACCCUUCGGCAAAUUGGAACACCCCAAGCCCUGCUCGCCUACCCCACCUCACCCUCGCACACUAGUGCAUCGUUUUGACACCAAUUGCACGACCAGAGUAUCCUGUAGCACAAUCCCAACGAGUACCAAACAUCAACAUCGCAACCUUGAUUCCGACAAGGUGAGCACGCGUUUGACCUUGUUGCCAUGUCCAAUGUGUUCGUUGUGCUCUAGCGUGUCUUUCUAACCACACACGUGUCACCAAGGAGCCUGGAACCGUUGAGUUUGACCUGAACUACAGCUUCUCCGUCACCGUCAUGACCCCCAACCACACCGCCAGGCCACCCGAGGACCAAAUCGGCAUCGUCGAGGGCACCGCACCGCGUCAACCCUUCCCCGAGCUCCAGCGACCUCCUCUCUUCGUCGAGCACACCGUCGACUCCCGAGCACCGCGUCUCCAUAGUUGCCAACUCCGACGACUUCCUUCGAUGAGGAAUUCACCUCUCUGCCAAACCCUAGUGCAAUAGAACACUAGUGGUCAAUCUCCACUUAAUCAAACGGCUCACAACAGCCCAUCCCGCAAAGCAGUAUCGUCCAAUAGGAUGACGCCACAUGCAUGGCCCUUUAAUCUAAGUCGUCUGAACCCCUUUUUAAAUUCAAUGGCUGUAACUUAUUCUAGUCAUGAAUCGGUGUCAACCAACCAGAGGUUGCUACGAUAUCCUCAUCUAAUUUAAACCAUUUCUCCCAACUAGAAAUAAAUGUAACAUUUGCAGAAAAGCCCCUGCAACGUUAAACCCUUAUAACUUUCUCACCGCAACUCCAAAUGAGGUGAUUCUUUUUUCAUACUGACCCUCAUAUAGAGAUUUAUCCAACAAUAUCAUUAAAUUUCAUUUUUUCACAAUUUAAGUUCAAAUUAUUGAAAUUUGAACAUUUGUUAGGGCCUAAAAUGCAAACCAUAAGUCCAAAUGAAGUAAACCUUUUUUUUGCAAAUUCAUCAUUAGGAUGUAAAUUUUCAAAUAGGACCCUUAGUUUCAAGGAUCUACCAUAUAAAUUUAAACUUAGCCAAAAUUUAGAACAUAGCAAAAACUUUCAAAUAGCUUGCAUUUUCUUGAAGUCAUUUCAGGUUUCCGGUGAAGUUCUUUCUGUGAGAGACGACAUUCCCAUCGACUGCAAGAUGCAAGUGGUGACUUUGUCAAUUUCAAGAUGUGCCGGCUCAUUCUCGAAGGUGCUCAUAGGGUACGAUCUGCAUGCGGACGUUCAUGGUGGCGAGUGUUGAAAUCACUAACUAAGAGGUACCCCUUACGAAGGUCACUUUCUCUUCCUUGGUGGUGACAUGUAGCCUACCACAUCUGCACCAAUUGUCGCAACCAGGGAGUUUUGGUGGGGUUUUCUCCUAAUGCGAGGGAGGAAUGUGUGGGCUUGUUUGUGCUUUUUGUAGAUUUUUUCAAAACAAAAUAUCUUGCAAGCAUCCAAAUUACAACCAUUUUUCACUGUUGCAUUUCUGCGUUAAGAUUUUCAAAACUAGAUCCCAUGUUAAUAAAAACUUGUUUUUCAACGAAAAUUGUGCUCCCAAAAUGAACUACCAAACUUCACAACCCCGUGCUUCCAAGUAAACUUGUGUUCUCCCAAUGUGAAGCACAUUAUGCUUUCGUGGGAAGCAGCGCGAAGCAUCUAUGCUACACAUAGACGCACACUCGUUCUUCCGUAUACACAUCAAAGCACACCCGUGCUCAUGCAUAAAGCACACCACACGCACGUGGAAGCACAACACACCCGUGCUUUCGAUAGACGAAAACCAAAUAAAAUCAAAAAACAUUUUUUAAACCCUAGAAAAAACCAAGAAAUAAAAAGCCAGGAAUAAACAAAAAAAGAUGACGGGAAGCGUCGAGUGCGCAACAUAUUGAUGAGGAAGCCGUGGAGCGCAGAAAAGUGCUUCCGCCUCCUAAAAAAAGUGCCUCCCGGAGGGCAUCCGUUAACUAGUUGUGCAUCUAUAUUUUUAUGAAGGAACGCCCGAGCAGGGUGUCCCUAUGUCUCGCCUUCGAGUCCACCUUUGGACUCGCUGAAGGGGCGACCGAGAUGGGCUGGCCCACGCGCAUGGCAGGCCACAGACUAUUUUUUGUUUUUGUUUUUUGUUUCCAUUUUUGCUUUAAUUUUGUACUUUUGUUUAUACUUAUUAAUAUUCUAUACAUGUAUAUAUAUUACAAAAACAAUCUACUCUUUUUUUGAAAAAUAUUGAACAAGUAUUUGAAAAAUGUUAAAUAAAUAUUUCAAAUGUUGGACAAGUAUAUGAAAAAAUGUUAAUCAAGCAUUCUGAAUUUUUUUGAAUGUAAAUAUAAAAGUUGUUGUUCAUGUAUUAGGAAAUUGAUAUUUUUUUGAUUGUGUAUAUAAUUUUUUUUAAGCAUUUAAAAAAAAUAUUGAACAAGUAUUUGAAAAAUGGUAAUCAAGCAUUUGGGAAAUGUCAAAUGUGUAUAGAUAAAAUGUUGACCAUUUAUUAGAAAAAUGACGAUUUUUUUAAUCAUGUAUACAAAAAUGUUAAUCAAGCAUUAAAAAAAAUGUUGAACAAUUAUUUGUUAAAUAUUAAUAAAGCAUUUGAAAAAUGUUAAAUGUAUAUAGAAAAAAAUGUUAACCAUGUAUUAUAAAAUGAUGAAUGAUCAUGUAUAUAAAAAAUUUAAUCAAGAAUUUUAAAAAAUGUUGAACAAGUGUUUGAAAAAUAUUAAUCAAGAGNNNNNNNNNNNNNNNNNNNNNNNNNNNNNNNNNNNNNNNNNNNNNNNNNNNNNNNNNNNNNNNNNNNNNNNNNNNNNNNNNNNNNNNNNNNNNNNNNNNNNNNNNNNNNNNNNNNNNNNNNNNNNNNNNNNNNNNNNNNNNNNNNNNNNNNNNNNNNNNNNNNNNNNNNNNNNNNNNNNNNNNNNNNNNNNNNNNNNNNNNNNNNNNNNNNNNNNNNNNNNNNNNNNNNNNNNNNNNNNNNNNNNNNNNNNNNNNNNNNNNNNNNNNNNNNNNNNNNNNAAAAAAUGUUGAGCAUAUAUUAAAAGAAUGUUAAAAUUUAUACUGAAAAUAUGUUAUAUAUGUAUUAGAAAAAUGUUGUUGCCAUAUACAAAAAAUGUAGAAUGAACCACAAAAGAAACCAAGAAAAAAAAUAAAACCAAAAAAGAAACAAUAUAAACCAAAGAAAAAAUAAAAUAAAAAUAAAACCAAAGAAACAAAUGCAGAAAGAAUAAAAGUAAAUGACACCAGAGAAGAAAAUGAAAAGAAACAGAAGAAAACAAAAACCAUUGAAUCCGAAGAAACAAAUAAAAAGAAUGAAAAAACAUAAAAAAUGUAGAAGAAAAAACAGAAGAAAACCGAAUAAAAUGGAGAAAUAAAAGAAAACAACCGAAAACCCAGUGUAAAAGCAGCUCUUUUCCUGAGAGUAGCUUGCGCCCAAACAAUUGAGCAUGAAGUCAAUGUAGUGUCAGUGGCUAUCAGUGCAAAGAAGCAACCACGAGGUCCCAGUUUUGAUCCCCCACGCGCUUCCUUUUGGACUCAAUUUACAAAAAAAACGCUAGUGGGUUGGCCUGUAUCUCUAGAUGCUUUGCUCAUGGUUCAGCGAGAGAACGAUACGACUCGCUGAAUGCGAGACAUAGUUCUCGCAGCAUGGGUUACCCUUGUAUCUCGUCUUUAGCGAGAGGGUAGGAACCCUCGCUGAAGGGUAGACCGAGCUGGGCCGGCCCAGGAUCGCGGGAGGCCACAACCUCCUUUUUUCUGUUUAUCUUACCUUCUGAAAAUUGCCCGUGCGUUGCAAAGAGAGAAAACAUAAUCAUAUCACUCCUUAGCCCAAAAGUAUGACCUAAACAUCAAAAAAUAAAUUGCAGAAAGAAAUUAUAUUGCUCAAUUAAUCAGAAGUACAAUCUACCAUUACAAUACUGAAGAUAUUACCUGGGCAAGAUCCCAGCCAACGUGCAGUUCUUUGCUGGGAGCGACCAAGAGCAGCGAGCUCAUGGCCGUCUCGAACUUGCGAACGAGCCACCUUGUCAGUACUUCUCUAUCUCCUUGGACCAAGGGUGGCUACGCAUUGGCGCGAUCCCUGGUUUCAUAAUUACAGUGUAUAAAGUCCAGCUGCAUAUGUAGUUAUGUGCGGCAGAAUAAAGCAGGUAGCAUGCCUCGUUACUCUCUUGAAAUCGACAACACUCAGCUUGUAAUAAAAGUUCAGCGUCUAGAUUUAUAUCAUUUGUAGUCCAUGACUUAUGACAACCAUAGCAAAGUGGUGGUGAACUCCUGAAUGAACUUAUGUACCUCUUUACUGAUUAGCAUAUUAUACGUAUAGUCUUGUUCCGUAAAGCAACCUCAUCCAAUUCCAAAUAAGCACUUUGAUGAUGAAAAGUGAAGUCUAACCGGAAGUCUGAUGGCAAUAUGCUUGCCAGGCAAUUCUUCAACAUUUACAGUCUUUCCAAGAUGAAGAGAAACACUGGCAGAUACCAAUAUGUUAUAUGUUUUCCCGACAGUUUGUAUUUAUCGUCAAUUACAACACUAUAUAGGUCAGUCACCCCAUGAGAAAUAAACAAAGCUAUGAAAGACUAUGAAAGAACACUGCAGCAAUUCAGAUACUACUUGGCACUAAUAAGAGAUGUGUUAAUCAAUAGCUUUCAACUACUCAUCAGUAGGCGUCUUCCUCGAAGAUUGAUAGUGAAAAGUGCAUACCCUUGCCUUUCAUAGAAGUAGUAUCAGUAGGAAAAAAAAUGAUUCAUGUAUCCAUUAAUAUGCAUUGCUAUAUAGCUAGGAUUUUUGAACAAAACCAAUAAUAAUAAUAUUGUGCACAACAGAUUUCAAAUAAUAGUCAUUUGCUCCUUGUUUCCGGAGAGGUGCUUCUGUAAAGGUGGCCAUCAAAUGCUCAUCAUUGUAAGUAAUAUACAUACGUCGGUGCUGCAGCACCACGGUUCUUACAUAGCUCGCCAACAUAGAAAGCGACAUUUUUCCUAUCAGUAGCCUCAGAAGAUUCAAGUUCUUUCAACGUCAAAGUCAUUAUCUUCUGUCAAUGAUUCAAAUAUGAUUAAGUAUUAACAGGUCAAAUCUAAUGAUAAAACAUCUAAGACAGAAGAAUGGGCUUUGCAUUGUGUUUCAACUGAAUGGUGCACAUUAGCACCGGCGCCCUUAUUAUCAGCUGGCUGAGCUUCGAUUGGUGCAAAUUAGGAUGGUGCAUCUUUUAAUUCCUAAAUUAAAUGAAAGCCCAACAAUAUUAAAACUACAGAUGAACAUGGAGAGCCGUUCAUUUUGAGAAUUGUGCUAGCUACCUGUGAAAUUA